GUGAGUAUGUCUUGUAGUUAUUGGUGUGUGAACGUAUUUGUUGAAAUGUUUAGUGAUACAUGCUAAAGUGUAGACUGACCUAAACUUCAACAUUCAACUGAGCUAGUGUCUUAAAACUAGUUUUACUCGUUCAUCUGUUAAUGAUAAAAUAUAGUUAUUUUUAAGGGUACCAAAUUAUUAACCAGGACUAGUAGAACUUAUAAUUUAACUUUAAGAUAUACUUCAAAUAGUUAACUUGAACUUUGAAAACUUUUAAGUUAUUCGGCACCGUGGUUCGUGACGUAAGGACGACUAGCGCGACUCUACGAGGAAUCUGUCACGUCACUCCUUUAAAAUUGUGAUAUAUUCACAUUUAAACUACUUGGUGACAUCAUGUUUUGGCUUAUGUCCAUCAGCAUGUAUAUCAGUAUGCUGGUUUUGCCAGCAAAAACUGACAUGUUCACUGCCAUAAUAGAUCUUCAGAAACUUCUUUAUACAGAAGCAGAAAUUAUCAAAACAUUGGAACUGUACCUGAAAGCAGAAGAACAAAGACUGGAAAAAGUUAGGCAAUUAAGACAGGAAUAUGGACAGAUGUAUCAACUUGCUAGUCAGGAUAUGGAGUCAUUCAUAGCUAACCCAGUAAAUGCAUAUUUGCUAGUUAAAAGACUUACUGCAGACUGGAAAAAUGUAGAAUAUUUGAUGCUUGAAGGUGAAGGGAAAAAUUUGAUUGAAAAUAUUACAAGAAACAGAGAUGAUUUAAAAUUUCCUGAUGAUGAUGACUUAAAUGGAGCUGCUGUAGCUCUGCUAAGACUACAAGACACAUACAAAAUAGACACUUCUGUCUUGGCAAAAGGUUACAUCCAGGGAACAAAACAUUCGUCUGAGCUGACUGCUGGAGACUGUUUCGAGCUAGGCCGUCAGUCCUAUAACAAUGAAGAUUUCUACCAUACAGUUCUGUGGAUGCAAGAGGCCUUGGAACGUGCAGAAGAAGAAAUAGACAAGACUGCAGAUGCAGCAGAAGUUCUUGAAUAUCUGGCAUAUGCUACUUACAAGCAAGGGAAUACAAGACAUGCCUUGAAGCUUACAAGUAACUUAUUGAAAUUAGUUCCUGAUCAUCCAAGAGCAGGUGGUAACAAAAUUUUUUUUGAGAAUUCACUUCAGAGAUCAGAGAAGAAGAAGAAAGGAGAUGAUGGAGAUGUACCGGUUGAAGAAACUUACAUGGAAUUCAAACGAUCAGUGUAUGAUAUUCCUGAGAGAGAAAAAUAUGAAAUGCUGUGCAGAGGAGAAAAAUUAAUGAAUAAGAUUGAAGAAGGGAAACUGAAGUGCCAUUACUAUACAAACAAUCAUCCCUACUACUUGCUGCAGCCUGUGAAAGAAGAAGAAGCAUUUUUAAGACCACGUAUUGUUAUGUAUCACAAUAUUUUAUCUGAUAAAGAAAUAGAAGUUGUUAAAACCCUUGCAACUCCUUUGUUGAAAAGAGCAACUGUUCAAAACUACAAGUCUGGAGAGUUGGAAAUGGCAAAUUACCGGAUUUGUAAAAGUGCUUGGCUGUCCAAUCAGGAGCAUGAAAUAGUAGCAAAGAUUAGCCAAAGGAUCGAGGACCUCACUGGAUUAACAAUGUCAACAGCUGAGGAGUUACAAGUCGUGAAUUAUGGCAUUGGUGGACAUUAUGAACCUCACUUUGACUUUUCCAGACGAGAAGAAACCAAUGCCUUUCAAAGUUUGGGAACUGGUAACAGAAUUGCUACUUGGUUGAAUUAUGCGAGACUACUUGGAGCAGCACAGAUAUAUGAGUGAUGUUGAAGGAGGUGCUACAGUUUUUCCUCAUAUCAGUGUAGCAGUAUGGCCUAAGAAGGGCUCGGCAGCCUUUUGGUACAACCUGUUCAAGAGUGGUGAAGGAGACAUGCUAACAAGACAUGCAGCCUGUCCUGUCU
rnacentral:misc_RNA from 1 species